AUACGUAGGGUGCAAGCGUUAAUCGGAAUUACUGGGCGUAAAGCGUGCGCAGGCGGUUCGGAAAGAAGGAUGUGAAAUCCCAGGGCUCAACCCUGGAACUGCAUUCUUAACUACCGAACUAGAGUAUGUCAGAGGGGGGUAGAAUACCGCGUGUAGCAGUGAAAUGCGUAGAUAUGCGGAGGAAUAACGAUGGCGAAGUCAGCCCCCUGGGAUAAUACAAACGCGCAUUGACGAAGACUUGAGUAACAAACAGGAUUAGAUACCCUGGUCGUCCACGCCCUGAACGAUGGCAACUAGCUGUUUGGCGCUUCGGGGGUUAGUAGCGUAGCUAACGCGUGAAGUUGACCGCCUGGGGAGUACGGUCGCAAGAUUAAGACGCAAAUAAAUUGACGGGG
rnacentral:rRNA from 1 species